rnacentral:rRNA from 3 species
UUAAUUGAAGAGUUUGAUCAUGGCUCAGAUUGAACGCUGGCGGCAGGCCUAACACAUGCAAGUCGAGCGGUAACACAAGGGAGCUUGCUCCUGAGGUGACGAGCGGCGGACGGGUGAGUAAUGCCUAGGGAUCUGCCCAGUCGAGGGGGAUAACAGUUGGAAACGACUGCUAAUACCGCAUACGCCCUACGGGGGAAAGGAGGGGACCUUCGGGC